AUUGAACGCUGGCGGCAGGCCUAACACAUGCAAGUCGAACGAGUGGCGGACGGGUGAGUAAUGUCUGGGAAACUGCCUGAUGGAGGGGGAUAACUACUGGAAACGGUAGCUAAUACCGCAUACCAUCGGAUGUGCCCUGAUGGGUUUAGCUAGGAGGUGGGGUAACGGCUCACCUAGGCGACGAUCCCUAGCUUGUCUCAGAGGAUGACCAUCCCCACUGGCACUGAGACACGGUCCAGACUCCUCCGGGAGGCCGCAGUUGGGAAUAUUGCACAAUGGGCGCAAGCCUGAUGCAGCCAUGCCGCGUGUAUGAAGAAGUCCUUCGGGUUGUAAAGUACGUUCAGCGGGGAGGCGUUACCCGCAGAAGAAGCACCGGCUAACUCCGUGCCAGCAGCCGCGGUAAUUG
rnacentral:rRNA from 1 species